GGUUAAUCGGUUUUUAGAGGAUAAGUACUAUUGUGCAAGGGACCUGUCCUCGGAAGUAUGUGCAUAGACAGGACAUCAAGAGCUUCGCCUGACGUGGAGAAGUCUCAGGAGAAAUGGGGGCUCAAGACUCUUUGUUGAGCUCCAGUAAUAACAAAUCACAACCUAUGCCCUCCUCAUGGUCCUUGGUUGACUGGAGUACUGUAUGCAAGAGUGAGAAGAAGCUGAUUUCUGGACAUCGGCAAGAUGGCAGAAUGGAGGCCUCCAACUCUCAGACCCACACAGAAACACCGAUUUUAACAACCUCCUACAGAUGAGAUCUUUAUGAGAAUCCAAACAUUCAGCUGAGAGGUUCCAACACCCUGGUGGAGCAACAAUUUUAAGAAUAAAUGCACUGAAGAAGAUGGCAUGUGCAAGUCCUUGCAGACGGCAGAUGGAUAACCAGCAGCUAGCCUAACAAUGCUAGAUUCGGAAAAGGCACACAGUCUCAAACACUUCAAGGGGGCUUCCUUUUCUGCUGCUCCAAGGUGUACCUGCUCCAUUUCCACCAAGUUCACAUCCUCCUAGAGAACAUCUUUGUCCUUAUCAGGGAGUAUCCUUCUUGGAAGAAAUUGAUGAUGUACUUCAUGGGGAGUUCAGCAAGCACUUUUCACUCGCAGCUGUCAGUUCCUCCAGUUGCCACAGAGUCAUGAGGUUGAAGAUGUAGGCUGCAACCGGCCCCUCCACGGUGCCUGCCUCCUAGCUGAAGGCAUUGAUUUCAAAAGGGGGGAUAGUUGACCAGCAAUGCCUCCUAGUCUUGAUUCAGUAUUAAAAGAAAAAAAAAGUUGGAAAUUCAUCUACGGAGUGUGUCUUCAAAUAUAAUAUACAGAAACCAGCAGACAUGAAGACACUGAAGCUUCCCUAUGUAGAGGCCUACACAGUGAGAAAUGGAGGCUCUAACAUGUUUGUGAAUGAGCAGCAUAUCCUUCAGCCCCAGCAAGUCUUCAGAUGACUGAAGUCCUGAUACACUCUGGGUUGAAAACUCAUGAGUGACUCUGACCUAGAACCAGUCAGCUCAGCCGCUUUCAAAUAAAUUCAUAAUCUUUAAAACUUA